rnacentral:rRNA from 1 species
UCCAUCUAAAGCUAAAUCUUACAGCGAGACCGAUAGCAAACAAGUACCGUGAGGGAAAGUUGCAAAGAACUUUGAAGAGAGAGUUCAAUAGGACGUGAAACCGUUUGUAGGUAAACAGAUGGAACCACGAAGUAUGCUAAGGCGGAGAUUCAUCUGCUCUGGACCGGACAGUUGCUUAUACUUUGUUUGACUUUCUUCGGAGAGUAGGUAUGGGUAGCAUUUAAUGUUUGUCCCAGGCGGUGCAUUUCUUCAGUCUUAGGCUAAAGCCAUGCCCGAUCAGAUGUNUAGUGCGUCCGUGAGCGUMGGCCAUUAGUAGGUAGCNGGGUAUAAGUUUCGGCUUGUAUGCCAGUGUUUAAGCCUUUGGUCGGUUAACCAAUUUUGGGCACUUAGUUCACUGAUCGGCGCANUUUCUCCACUAUUGUGGGGUUUGCUGUAAAGGGUGUGCACAGUAUUUAGGCUGAGGCUGCGUGUGUCUGUUUGUUUGUUUUUUACUUUCCGGUAAUGAACAGCGGACUGGGCGCUCGGUCUAUGCUGGCUUGAAUAUAUGUUGUAUGCUUGUACGCAAUCAUGGCUAGUAGGUCGGUGUCCAUCUG